rnacentral:sRNA from 1 species
UCUCUCGGCGAUUGGCCCUUUCCGGCCAGC